rnacentral:rRNA from 1 species
GAUGAACGCUGGCGGCGUGCCUAAUACAUGCAAGUCGAGCGAACGGACGAGAAGCUUGCUUCUCUGAUGUUAGCGGCGGACGGGUGAGUAACACGUGGAUAACCUACCUAUAAGACUGGGAUAACUUCGGGAAACCGGAGCUAAUACCGGAUAAUAUUUUGAACCGCAUGGUUCAAAAGUGAAAGACGGUCUUGCUGUCACUUAUAGAUGGAUCCGCGCUGCAUUAGCUAGUUGGUAAGGUAACGGCUUACCAAGGCAACGAUGCAUAGCCGACCUGAGAGGGUGAUCGGCCACACUGGAACUGAGACACGGUCCAGACUCCUACGGGAGGCAGCAGUAGGGAAUCUUCCGCAAUGGGCGAAAGCCUGACGGAGCAACGCCGCGUGAGUGAUGAAGGUCUUCGGAUCGUAAAACUCUGUUAUUAGGGAAGAACAUAUGUGUAAGUAACUGUGCACAUCUUGACGGUACCUAAUCACAAAGCCACGGCUAACUACGUG